CAAGUCGAACGGGGUUACUCUAGCUAGCAAUAGCCGGAUUAACCUAGUGGCAUACGGGUGCGUAACACGUAGGAAUCUACCCAGAAGUUGGGGAUAGCUCACCGAAAGGUGAAUUAAUACCCGAUGUGAAAUUCGUUUUAAAGCAGGGGACCUUCGGGCCUUGCGCUUCUGGACGAGCCUGCGGCCUAUCAGCUUGUUGGUGAGGUAAUGGCUCACCAAGGCAAUGACGGGUAGCCGGUCUGAGAGGAUGGUCGGCCACACUGGAACUGAGACACGGUCCAGACACCUACGGGUGGCAGCAGUCGAGAAUCAUUCGCAAUGGGGGAAACCCUGACGGUGCGACGCCGCGUGGAGGAUGAAGGCUUUCGGGUUGUAAACUCCUGUCACCAGAGAACAAGGAUGCUGAUCUAAUCACUCAGCAUUUGAUGGUAUCUGGAGAGGAAGGGACGGCUAACUCUGUGCCAGCAGCCGCGGUAAUACAGAGGUCCCGAGCGUUGUUCGGAUUCACUGGGCGUAAAGGGUGAGUAGGAGGCUUGGAAAGUCAGCUGUGAAAACUUCGUGCUCAACGCGGAGCCUGCAACUGAUACUCCCGAGCUCGAGGAUCGGAGGGGCAAACGGAAUUCCAGGUGUAGCAGUGAAAUGCGUAGAUAUCUGGAGGAACACCGGUGGCGAAGGCGGUUUGCUGGACGAUUCCUGACUCUGAAACACGAAAGCUGGGGGAGCAAACGGGAUUAGAUACCCCGGUA
rnacentral:rRNA from 1 species